rnacentral:rRNA from 1 species
GAUGAACGCUAGCGAUAGGCUUAACACAUGCAAGUCGAGGGGCAGCAUGGUCUUAGCUUGCUCAGACUGAUGGCGACCGGCGCACGGGUGCGUAACGCGUAUGCAACUUGCCUCACAGAGGGGGAUAACCCGUCGAAAGACGGACUAAUACCGCGUACACUUGGGAUAGGGCAUCCUGACCCAAGGAAAUGAAAUUCGCUGUGAGAUAGGCAUGCGUCCCAUUAGCUAGUUGGUGAGGUAACGGCUCACCAAGGCGACGAUGGGUAGGGGAACUGAGAGGGUGAACCCCCACACUGGUACUGGGACACGGACCAGACUCCUACGGGAGGCAGCAGUGAGGAAUAUUGGUCAAUGGGCGAGAGCCUGAACCAGCCAAGUCGCGUGAAGGAUGACUGUCUUAUGGAUUGUAAUCUUCUUUUAUACGGGAAUAACAAGAGUCACGUGUGGCUCCCUGCAUGUACCGUAUGAAUAAGCACCGGCUAACUCCGUG